UCUUCUCUCUCAACUCUCUAGACACUUCUCCAAAUUCUACUAUUUACAUUAUUAAGAUUACAUGUGCAAGUGCUUUGAAAACCUUACAGCACUAUGUAAAUGCCAGAUAUUAUUAUCAGCAACACCAUCACUAGAUUAAAAGGACAAAAGAUGCACUCUUGAGCAGGAAUGAAUCAUUCUUCUGGUGAUGUUCUAUAGCAGUGAGUCAUGGAAUACCAGAAUCUCUGAAGAAUUGAAGUUUAGGGUCACCUUCAGGCCAUUGCUCCUCAUCCUGUACUCUGAGUCCAAACACAAAAACUCUAAGACACUUUCAAGGGGAGAAAGAAGCAAAUUUUCAGCAAACUUCAAAGGAGAUUGAAAGAUUCAAUAUCAACCUACCUAAGUUUUAGAGAAACCAUUUUUGGAAAUUGAUGCUGGGGAUGUUGUGACGGGGGAUGGUGACAAUGAUCCACAGAUCUGUGCAUGUAGGUGUAACUGAAAAGACUCACCCAAAUCAGAACACUGAAAGUUUCUUUUUAUUUUUUCCCUUUCUUUGGGUUGAAACAACUGAUUGAAGGGCCUCUCAUUGUUUACUCCUCUGUCUAUUUAACUUGUGGUUGGUCUGGAGCUUUUGCUUAAGAAAGAGCUGCCCUGUUUCCCAUGGCCUUCUGCCAAGCUGGUCUCUGUGCUGUUGCUGUUUUCCAGAAGUUCAGUCUCUGUCACACUGUUUGAAGCUGUUCCUCUAUGCAUUUCAAAGCAUCUCCUUCUGCAUUCCCUGCUUGCAGUUGCAUUCCAUGUUUGCCAUGCAGCAGCUGCUUGGGGACCCUUUGAUCAUCCAUUCCCCACUCAGAGUUCAUUUAAAGAUGUGGAUCUUUGAGUCACAGAAAUGAAAGAGACUUUAGAGACCGUUUUGUCCAACCCCUUCAU